rnacentral:rRNA from 1 species
AUAACUGCCCUUGGGACCGGCAUAACCCCGGGAAACUGGGGAUAAUUCCGGAUACCGCAUAUAUGCUGGAAUGCUUUAUGCGUGAAAUGGAUUCGUCUGCCCAAGGAUGGGUCUGCGGCCUAUCAGGUAGUAGUGGGUGUAAUGUACCUACUAGCCUACAACGGGUACGGGUUGUGAGAGCAAGAGCCCGGAGAUGGAUUCUGAGACAUGAAUCCAGGCCCUACGGGGCGCAGCAGGCGCGAAAACUUUACAAUGCGGGAAACCGUGAUAAGGGGACACCGAGUGCCAGCAUCAUAUGCUGGCUGUCCAGGUGUGUAAAAUACACCUGUUAGCAAGGGCCGGGCAAGACCGGUGCCAGCCGCCGCGGUAACACCGGCGGCCCGAGUGGUGAUCGUGAUUAUUGGGUCUAAAGGGUCCGUAGCCGGUUUGGUCAGUCCUCCGGGAAAUCUGACAGCUCAACUGUUAGGCUUUCGGAGGAUACUGCCAGACUUUGAACCGGGAGAGGUAAGAGGUACUACAGGGGUAGGAGUGAAAUGUUGUAAUCCCUGUCGGACCACCUGUGGCGAAGGCGUCUUACCAGAACGGGUUUGACGGUGAGGGACGAAAGCUGGGGGCACGAACCGGAUUAGAUACCCGGGUAGUCCCAUCCGUAAACGAUGCUCGCUAGGUGUCAGGCAUGGCGCGACCGUGUCUGGUGCCGCAGGGAAGCCGUGAAGCGAGCCACCUGGGAAGUACGGCCGCAAGGCU